UACAGAGGGGGCAAGCGUUAUUCGGAAUUAUUGGGCGUAAAGGGCGCGUAGGCGGCCCAGCAAGUCAGGGGUGAAAUCCCUCGGCUCAACCGAGGAAUUGCCUCUGAAACUGCAGGGCUUGAGACCGGGAGAGGGUGGUGGAAUUCCCAGUGUAGCGGUGAAAUGCGUAGAUAUUGGGAGGAACACCGGUGGCGAAGGCGGCCACCUGGACCGGUUCUGACGCUGAGGCGCGAAAGUGUGGGGAGCAAACAGG
rnacentral:rRNA from 1 species